GAGUGGUGGGAAUGAGGAUUCACUUAGUUGUGCGAAGUCACCUUCUGAGCUAAACUUGAACUUUUUGAGGCAUUAAUUCUUUCUAACCUACAAAAC